rnacentral:rRNA from 1 species
UACGUAGGGUGCGAGCGUUGUCCGGAAUUAUUGGGCGUAAAGAGCUUGUAGGCGGUUUGUCGCGUCUGCUGUGAAAAUCCGGGGCUCAACCCCGGACUUGCAGUGGGUACGGGCAGACUGGAGUGUGGUAGGGGAGACUGGAAUUCCUGGUGUAGCGGUGAAAUGCGCAGAUAUCAGGAGGAACACCGGUGGCGAAGGCGGAUCUCUGGGCCGUAACUGACGCUGAGGAGCGAAAGCAUGGGGAGCGAACAGG